UACGUAGGGGGCGAGCGUUGUCCGGAGUUACUGGGCGUAAAGCGCUUGUAGGCGGUCCACCAAGUUUGGGGUGACAGUUGCCGACUUAAUCGGCAAAGUGCCUCAAAGACUGGCGGACUUGAGGGCCACAGAGGGACAUGGAACUCCAGGUGUAGUGGUGAAAUGCGCAGAUAUCAGGAGGAACACCGGUGGCGAAGGCGGGUCUCUGGGCAGUAACUGACGCUGAGGAGCGAAAGCGUGGGGAGCGAACAGG
rnacentral:rRNA from 1 species